rnacentral:rRNA from 1 species
UACAGAGGGUGCGAGCGUUAAUCGGAAUUACUGGGCGUAAAGCGUGCGCAGGCGGUUGUGCAAGACAGAUGUGAAAUCCCCGGGCUCAACCUGGGAACUGCAUUUGUGACUGCACGGCUGGAGUGCGGCAGAGGGGGAUGGAAUUCCGCGUGUAGCAGUGAAAUGCGUAGAUAUGCGGAGGAAUACCGAUGGCGAAGGCAAUCCCCUGGGCCUGCACUGACACUCAUGCACGAAAGCGUGGGGAGCAAACAGG